GGGCCCGCACAAGCGGUGGAGCAUGUGGUUUAAUUCGAUGCAACGCGAAGAACCUUACCUACUCUUGACAUCCAGAGAACUUUUCAGAGAUGAAUUGGUGCCUUCGGGAACUCUGAGACAGGUGCUGCAUGGCUGUCGUCAGCUCGUGUUGUGAAAUGUUGGGUUAAGUCCCGCAACGAGCGCAACCCUUAUCCUUGUUUGCCAGCGAGUAAUGUCGGGAACUCCAGGGAGACUGCCGGUGAUAAACCGGAGGAAGGUGGGGACGACGUCAAGUCAUCAUGGCCCUUACGAGUAGGGCUACACACGUGCUACAAUGGCGCAUACAGAGGGCGGCCAACUUGCGAGAGUGAGCG
rnacentral:rRNA from 1 species